rnacentral:rRNA from 1 species
UACAGAGGUCCCGAGCGUUGUUCGGAUUCACUGGGCGUAAAGGGUGCGCAGGUGGGCUGGUAAGUUUGAUGUGAAAGCCCCGGGCUUAACCCGGGAAUGGCAUUGAAUACUACUGGUCUGGAGGAUUGGAGGGGGGACUGGAAUUCUUGGUGUAGCAGUGAAAUGCGUAGAUAUCAAGAGGAACACCAGUGGCGAAGGCGAGUCCCUGGACAAUUCCUGACACUGAGGCACGAAAGCCAAGGGAGCAAACAGG